UCAUUAAAUCAGUAUCGUUUAUUGAUAGUACCUUACUACUUGGAUAACCGUGGUAAUUCUAGAGCUAAUACAUGCUGAAAACCCCAACUUCGGGAGGGGUGUAUUUAUUAGAUAAAAAACCAACGCCCUUCGGGGCUUCUUGGUGAUUCAUGAUAACUUCACGGAUCGCAUGGCCUUGCGCCGGCGACGGUUCAUUCAAAUUUCUGCCCUAUCAACUUUCGAUGGUAAGGUAUUGGCUUACCAUGGUUUCAACGGGUAACGGGGAAUUAGGGUUCGAUUCCGGAGAGGGAGCCUGAGAAACGGCUACCACAUCCAAGGAAGGCAGCAGGCGCGCAAAUUACCCAAUCCCGACACGGGGAGGUAGUGACAAUAAAUACUGAUACAGGGCUCUUUUGGGUCUUGUAAUUGGAAUGAGUACAAUUUAAACCUCUUAACGAGGAACAAUUGGAGGGCAAGUCUGGUGCCAGCAGCCGCGGUAAUUCCAGCUCCAAUAGCGUAUAUUAAAGUUGUUGCAGUUAAAAAGCUCGUAGUUGAAACUUGGGCCUGGCUGGCAGGUCCGCCUCACCGCGUGUACUUGUCCGGCCGGGCCUUUCCUUCUGGAGAACCUCAUGCCCUUCACUGGGUGUGUUGGGGAACCAGGACUUUUACUUUGAAAAAAUUAGAGUGUUCAAAGCAGGCCUUUGCUCGAAUACGUUAGCAUGGAAUAAUAGAAUAGGACGUGCGGUCCUAUUUUGUUGGUUUCUAGGACCGCCGUAAUGAUUAAUAGGGACAGUCGGGGGCAUCAGUAUUCAAUUGUCAGAGGUGAAAUUCUUGGAUUUAUUGAAGACUAACUACUGCGAAAGCAUUUGCCAAGGAUGUUUUCAUUAAUCAGUGAACGAAAGUUAGGGGAUCGAAGACGAUCAGAUACCGUCGUAGUCUUAACCGUAAACUAUGCCGACUAGGGAUCGGGCGAUGUUCUUUUUCUGACUCGCUCGGCACCUUACGAGAAAUCAAAGUUU
rnacentral:rRNA from 1 species